UUUUGCACUGGAUUAGGGUGGGCAACAGAGAGAAAAAGGAGAGAGGCAACAGACCCGCGUGAAGCCCCGCCACUAGCACUGCCCUACCGAAGCUCUGCUUGGAUCUGAAGGAGACGAGGGGGAGAGGACGAUGGGAGGAAGAGAAAAGGAAUAAAAGAUUUAUUAAAGGCCCAUAUGGAGAAACUAUGCGUUUGGAUAAAUAGUUUACACAUGAUGUCUAACUGAUGUGGCAGUAUAACUGAUGUGGCAGGAUAGACACUCAUGAACACU
rnacentral:lncRNA from 1 species